GAGAUAUCCCCAAAUUAAGCCGCUAACUUAAAUAAUAGUGAAUAAUCAUUAAUAUCUCU
rnacentral:tRNA from 1 species